GGAAGGAUGGCCGAGUGGUUAUGGCGCUGUGUUCAGGUUAAUAGCCAGUAUCGCAGUGGGAAACCGCGUGGGUUCGAUCCCCACUCCUUUCA